rnacentral:rRNA from 1 species
AGUGAACGCUGGCGGUAGGCCUAACACAUGCAAGUCGAACGGCAGCACAGUAAGAGCUUGCUCUUACGGGUGGCGAGUGGCGGACGGGUGAGGAAUACAUCGGAAUCUACUUUUUCGUGGGGGAUAACGUAGGGAAACUUACGCUAAUAUCGCAUAUGACCUACGGGUGAAAGCAUUGGAUCUUCGGACCUUGCGCGAUUGAAUUAGCCGAUGUCGGAUUAGCUAGUGGGCGGGGUAAAGGCCCACCAAGGCGCCGAUCCGUAGCUGGUGUGAGAGGAUGAUCAGCGACACUGGAACUGAGACACGGUCCAGACUCCUACGGGACGCAGCAGUGGGGAAUAUUGGACAAUGGGCGCGAGCCUGAUACAGCCAGCCCGCGUCGGAGAAGACGACCUUCGGGUUGUAAAGACCUUUUGUUGGGAAAGAAAAGCAGCAGGUUAAUACCCAGCUGUUCUGACGGUACCCGAAGAAUAAGCACCGGCUAACUUCGUG